rnacentral:rRNA from 1 species
CUACGUGCCAGCAGCCGCGGUAAUACGUAGGUCCCGAGCGUUGUCCGGAUUUAUUGGGCGUAAAGCGAGCGCAGGCGGUUAGAUAAGUCUGAAGUUAAAGGCUGUGGCUUAACCAUAGUACGCUUUGGAAACUGUUUAACUUGAGUGCAAGAGGGGAGAGUGGAAUUCCAUGUGUAGCGGUGAAAUGCGUAGAUAUAUGGAGGAACACCGGUGGCGAAAGCGGCUCUCUGGCUUGUAACUGACGCUGAGGCUCGAAAGCGUGGGGAGCAAACAGGAUUAGAUACCCCGGUAGUCCUGGCCGUAAACGAUGGGUACUAGGUGUAGGAGGUAUCGACCCCUUCUGUGCCGGAGUUAACGCAAUAAGUACCCCGCCUGGGGAGCACGACCGCAAGGUUGAAACUCAAAUGAAUUGACGGGGGCCCGCACAAGCGGUGGAGCAUGUGGUUUAAUUCGAUGCAACGCGAAGAACCUUACCUACUCUUGACAUCCAGA